CGAACGGUCUCUAGCAAUAGAGAUAGUGGCGCACGGGUGCGUAACGCGUAACCAACCUACCCGAAUCUGGGGGAUAGCCCGCCGAAAGGCGGAUUAAUACCGCAUAAAACGGCAGACCGGCAUCGGUUCACCGUUAAAGAUUUAUUGGAUUCGGAUGGGGUUGCGUGCCAUUAGCUAGUUGGGGGGGUAACGGCCCACCAAGGCGACGAUGGCUAGGGGAGCUGAGAGGCUGGUCCCCCACACGGGCACUGAGAUACGGGCCCGACUCCUACGGGAGGCAGCAGUAGGGAAUAUUGGGCAAUGGUCGAGAGACUGACCCAGCCAUGCCGCGUGCAGGAUGAAGGCUUUCUGAGUCGUAAACUGCUUUUGCCAGGGAAAAAUAAGGGGGAUGCGUCCUCCGACGACGGUACCUGGUGAAUAAGCACCGGCUAACUCCGUGCCAGCAGCCGCGGUAAUACGGAGGGUGCAAGCGUUGUCCGGAUUUAUUGGGUUUAAAGGGUGCGUAGGCGGCUUUUUAAGUCCGGGGUGAAAGCCCGUUGCUCAACAACGGAACUGCCCCGGAAACUGGAGAGCUUGAGUACAGACAAGGGCGGCGGAAUGGAGGGUGUAGCGGUGAAAUGCAUAGAUACCCUCCAGAACCCCGAUUGCGAAGGCAGCUGCCUAGACUGUAACUGACGCUGAGGCACGAAAGCGUGGGGAGCGA
rnacentral:rRNA from 1 species